rnacentral:rRNA from 1 species
GUUGACCUCGGAUCAGGUAGGAGUUACCCGCUGAA